rnacentral:rRNA from 1 species
ACGGAGGGUGCAAGCGUUGUUCGGAAUCACUGGGCGUAAAGGGCGCGUAGGCGGUUUGAUAAGUCAGAUGUGAAAGCCCACGGCUUAACUGUGGAAGUGCAUUUGAAACUGUCAGACUUGAGUAUCAGAGGGGAAAGUGGAAUUCCCGGUGUAGAGGUGAAAUGCGUAGAUAGCGGGAGGAGUGGCGGUGGCGAAGGCGACGUGCGGGCUGAAUACUGGCGCUGAGGCGCGAAAGCGUGGGGAGCAAGCAG